GACAGAGGGUGCAAACGUUGUUCGGAAUUACUGGGCGUAAAGCGCGUGUAGGCUGCUCAGAAAGUCGGAUGUGAAAGCCCUGGGCUUAACCUAGGAAGUGCAUUCGAAACUUCUGAGCUUGAGUUCUGGAGAGGAAGGCGGAAUUCUCGGUGUAGAGGUGAAAUCCGUAGAUAUCGAGAGGAACACCGGUGGCGAAGGCGGCCGUCUGGACAGUGACUGACGCUGAGACGCGAAAGCGUGGGGAGCAAACAGG
rnacentral:rRNA from 1 species